rnacentral:rRNA from 1 species
AACGAACGCUGGCGGCAGGCUUAACACAUGCAAGUCGAACGCAUCGCAAGAUGAGUGGCAGACGGGUGAGUAACGCGUGGGAACAUACCCUUUUCUACGGAAUAGCUCUGGGAAACUGGAAUUAAUACCGUAUACGCCCUACGGGGGCAAGAUUUAUCGGGGAAGGAUUGGCCGGAGUGGGAUUAGCUAGUUGGUGGGGUAAAGGCCUACCAAGGUGACGAUCCAUAGCUGGUCUGAGAGGAUGAUCAGCAACAUUGGGACUGAGACACGGCACAAACUCCUACGGGAGGCAGAAGUGGGGAAUAUUGGACAAUGGGCGCAAGCCUGAUCCAGCCAUGCCGCGUGAGUGAUGAAGGCCUUAGGGUUGUAAAGCUCUUUCACCGAUGAAGAUAAUGACGGUAGUCGGAGAAGAAGCCCCGGCUAACUUCGUGCCAGCCGCCGCCGUAACAC